rnacentral:lncRNA from 1 species
GGCGGGCGGAGAAGCUGGAGUGACUCUAGGGCAGCCGCAUCUUUCGCGUCAGGAUCUCACCACCUUGGAUGUUACCAAGUUGACGCCACUUUCACACGAAGUUAUCAGCAGACAAGCCACAAUUAACAUAGGUACAAUUGGUCAUGUAGCUCAUGGGAAAUCCACAGUCGUCAAAGCUAUUUCUGGAGUUCAUACUGUCAGGUUCAAAAAUGAACUAGAAAGAAAUAUUACAAUCAAGCUUGGAUAUGCUAAUGCUAAGAUUUAUAAGCUUGAUGACCCAAGUUGCCCUCGGCCAGAAUGUUAUAGAUCUUGUGGGAGCAGUACACCUGACGAGUUUCCUACGGACAUUCCAGGGACCAAAGGGAACUUCAAAUUAGUCAGACAUGUUUCCUUUGUUGACUGUCCUGGCCACGAUAUUUUGAUGGCUACUAUGCUGAACGGUGCAGCAGUGAUGGAUGCAGCUCUUCUGUUGAUAGGUAAAUACCUCACAAUUGGUUUGGACAAAUCAAUGUGGAACAAAUCCAAGAUGAAAUAUUUAAAGGGGAACUAAGGCCUUUAAGGAUCAUAUCUAUUACCUAAGGGUGACAUGAAUGGGAACUAACAUGUCAUCCAGGAUGACUUUCCUACCUAUCAGCUAUCACAAAAUACUCAAAAAGAUAGACUUGGGGCUGAUAGCUUGCGAGAAUUCUUGUGGUAGCAUUUGAGAAAAAGAAAAAAAGUCAAUAGUUCAUUUUUCUCAUUUAAAUCACAUGAGGUGAUUUAUUUAGUUUUAA